rnacentral:rRNA from 2 species
UACGGAGGAUCCGAGCGUUAUCCGGAUUUAUUGGGUUUAAAGGGUGCUCAGGCGGGGGAUUAAGUCGGCGGUGAAAUUUUGCAGCUCAACUGUAAAAGUGCCUUCGAAACUGGUUUCCUUGAGUGUGGAUGAGGUAGGCGGAAUUUGUGGUGUAGCGGUGAAAUGCAUAGAUAUCACGAGGAACUCCGAUUGCGCAGGCAGCUUACUAAACCAUAACUGACGCUCAAGCACGAAGGCGUGGGGAUCAAAC